rnacentral:rRNA from 1 species
AGGUAGUGACAAGAAAUAACAAUACAGGGCUACUGUCUUGUAAUUGGAAUGAUGGUGACUUAAACCCUCACCAGAGUACCAAUUGGAGGGCAAGUCUGGUGCCAGCAGCCGCGGUAAUUCCAGCUCCAAUAGCGUAUAUUAAACUUGUUGCAGUUAAAAAGCUCGUAGUUGAAUUUCAGCGUUUCGCGUGUGCCUCUUUUGGCCCAUCUCGUCUCGCUUUUUUUAUUACUUUGAGAAAAUUAGAGUGUUUCAAGCAGGCUUUUGUCUUGAAUACUUGAGCAUGGAAUAAUAGAGUAGGACCUUGGUUCUAUUUUGUUGGUUUUGUUACCUUGGUAAUGGUUAAUAGGAACG